CCUGGCGGCAACAGCGCGGUGGUCCCACCUGACCCCAUGCCGAACUCAGAAGUGAAACGCCGUAGCGCCGAUGGUAGUGUGGGGCCUCCCCAUGCGAGAGUAGGGCUGUCUCUU
rnacentral:rRNA from 1 species